rnacentral:misc_RNA from 1 species
GUGAAUCAUCAAAUCUUUGAACGCAAAUUGCACUCCCUGGUAUUCCGGGGAGUAUGCCUGUUUGAGGGUCGUUAGAACAAAAAUCGAAGCGUCGCUCUUUUUUUUUUAAGGGUGACCGCGUCGGAUUUGAGCCGUUUUUCAAAUGUUAAUUAAUGUAAAGUUGGCUGGAAAUUCAUCAAUCCGGUA